AAUACGGGGCCGGAAAAACCUGUUUAGGCGACCCGUUUAAGCGAGGAAAUGUUUAUUUUAUAUUCCUUUUCUUUUAUUUCUUUUUAUUUCCUUUAUUUCCUUUCAUCCUCGCCGAUUCUCUCAUCCUCGCCGUUUCUUCCUUCCCACGCGCGACAACUCCUGCCCGUGCCCUCGCCGCGAGCCCGAUCUCCUCCGUGCCCUAACCGCCGGCCCAGCGGUUCUCCUCUUCUUCAUUUCUUCUGCCCGACGCCACUGCUCUUCCGCCGCAGAGCCGAUUUCUUUCUCCUCUCUGUGCCUGUGCCCGCGCGAAGCCUCAGCCGAGCCAACUCCGGCCUAUGCCCUAGCCGUUGGUGACGCACAGAGCAGCGCCGCAAACCCCCCCGGUGCCCUAGAGCCGAUCACUGUGCAUCACCCUUUCUUCCUCUGCCCUGGUGUGAGUUCACGACCGAUUUUCUGUGCCAGCACCCGAGCCUAGCGCCGCCGCCGCCACCGGGUUUCUCUUCUUUCUGUGUCCGAACCCUAGCACUGAUAUUGCCGACCAGAUAGCCACAAGAACUCACCGGCAGGAAGAACCAGCACCCCCAUUUUUUUGUCUCUGCCCUAGAUUGCCGGAAUUCAGAAGAUUAGCCGACCACAGUGCCCUAGUUGGGUGUACUGCCACCGCUACUUCUCUGCACAGUGCUGCCGUCGUUCGCUCUAUUGCCGGCCAGCCGAACCCUAGAUCGUUGCUUUCUCACCUGGGCCUAGUUCCCUACUGCUGAAGCCUUUAACCCGUGCCCUAGCAGUGAGCCAGGUUUUCAGCUGUGUCAAUUGGAAAUUCUUCGACCUUGGAUUUAAAAGUGAUACAUCCAGAUUUUUAGGUGAGUUUAGAGGUGAUUCCAUUCUACAUUGAAUUUCAUUAAUAGUAAUGGAUAGUACCAGUUGAUUAGUUGAUAUGAGAUUUAUAAAUGUAUUUGUUGUAUUCCAUUUGGAUAAGUUAAUUGAUGAUCCAAUUGAGGUUUAUAAAUUUGGGUUUGUAUUUAAGUUAGA